rnacentral:rRNA from 1 species
UACGUAGGGUGCGAGCGUUAAUCGGAAUUACUGGGCGUAAAGCGUGCGCAGGCGGUUUUGUAAGCCAGAUGUGAAAUCCCCGAGCUUAACUUGGGAACUGCAUUUGGGACUGCAAGGCUAGAGUACGGCAGAGGGGGGUAGAAUUCCUGGUGUAGCAGUGAAAUGCGUAGAGAUGUGGAGGAACACCGAUGGCGAAGGCAGCCCCCUGGGUCAAAACUGACGCUCAUGCACGAAAGCGUGGGGAGCAAACAGG